rnacentral:rRNA from 1 species
GACGAACGCUGGCGGCGUGCCUAAUACAUGCAAGUCGAGCGGACCAAACAGGAGCUUGCUCUUGUUUGGUUAGCGGCGGACGGGUGAGUAACACGUGGGUAACCUGCCCGUAAGACCGGGAUAACUCCGGGAAACCGGAGCUAAUACCGGAUAACACCGAGGACCGUAUGGUCUUUGGUUGAAAGGCGGCUUCGGCUGCCACUUACGGAUGGGCCCGCGGCGCAUUAGCUAGUUGGUGAGGUAACGGCUCACCAAGGCGACGAUGCGUAGCCGGCCUGAGAGGGUGACCGGCCACACUGGGACUGAGACACGGCCCAGACUCCUACGGGAGGCAGCAGUAGGGAAUCUUCCGAAAUGGACGAAAGUCUGACGGAGCGACGCCGCGUGAGCGAAGAAGGGCUUCGGAUCGUAAAGAUCUGUUGUUAGGGAAGAAGAAGCGCCGUUCGAACAGGGCGGCGCGGUGACGGUACCUAACGAGAAAGCCCCGGCUAACUACGUG